GACGAACGCUGGCGGCGUGCUUAACACAUGCAAGUCGAACGGAAAGGCCCUGCUUGCGGGGUACUCGCGUGGCGAACGGGUGGGUAACACGUGGGUGAUCUGCCCUGCUAUUCGGGUUAAGCCUGGGCAAGUGGGUCUAGUACCGGCUAGGUGCCAUUUUUAGCGUGAUGGUUGGAUAGUUUUUUCGGUGUAGGAUGAGCUCGCGGCAUAUCAGCUUGUUGGUGGGGUAAUGGCCUACCAAGGCGGCGGCGGGUAGCCGGCCUGAGGGGGUGGACGGCCACAUUGGGACUGAGGUACGGCACAGGCACCUACGGGUGGCAAAAGUGGGGAAUAUUGCACAAUGGGCGCAAGCCGGAUGCAGCGACGCCGCGGGGGGGAUGACGGUCUUCGGGUUGUAAAAUCAUUUCGCAAGGGACGAAGCACUUUGUGACGGUACCUAGACAAGAAGCACCGGCUAACUACGUG
rnacentral:rRNA from 1 species